UAAAAUACCUCCAUUGGAAACCCAUGCAGACACACCUUCGACCGAUCUUCCAUUCAAGGGUGGUUGGACAUUGGCAACCGGACCUACCCAAUCACCAAACUACCCCUCCCGCAGCACCCUCGCCCAUCCCCAACCACACUCUCAGAAGCCUCAUUUCUAAUUUCACCCUCUCUUCCCCUCCAAAACUACAGUCUCAACCAAACCCCCAGACCCUAAUAUCCACUCUCACCUCAACCGGAACCCCGCCUUACACCAGAAGUUAAUAGAGACUGGUGUUGUUUCUGUUGUUCUCAAUUGUGUUGACUCCGAGGAUUCCGGUAUCCAAGAAUUGGCGCUUUCACUUCUCUUGAACCUUAGUUUGGAUGAUGACAGUAACGCGGGUUUGGUCGCCGAGGGGACCAUCGGUGCCUUCCUGUUUACAAUUAGAGGUCUUGUUUUGCUCCUUUGGGAUGGCAACGGGAGGGGGAAGAAAGAAGCAGCGAUGACUCUUUACGCCCUAUGUUCCUUCCCUAAUAACAACAGGAGAUCUGUUGAAUGUGGGUCGGUGCCAAUUUUGAUUGAAAUGGCCAGUUCUUUGUUGAAAGGGAUGUUGAGGUUCUAAGCUUGUUGGCCAAGUGUAGAGAAGGGAGAGAAGAAAUUGAAAAGUUUGAUGGUUCUGUCUGGAUUUUGGUCAGAGUGUUGAAUGGAUACUGAAAGCAAAGAAUGUGUUGAGAGGCUAAGAGCGAGGAUACUGAAGAAAUUUGUUUUGGAUUCCUGGAAGAAGAUGAAGUGAAGGAUAUCUUUCAUUUUGGGAUGAAGCAUUGAUGCUCUAUUCUUCUUUAUCGUCAGUAGAGGUGAGUUUGGUUCUAUUCAUUAGCCUUCCUCCAUUGGAUGGUCGUGUAAAAAAGAAAAGAGUAGAUUUUAGUGGGGUUGAGUCCUAUCUGUAUCUUGUAAAUUCUCAAUAAACAUAUCAAGUUUCUAUU